ensembl:lncRNA
CCAGAGCCUCCUGGAGACCGGCCCAGGAUGCCAUUGUGGAGAAGGAGACGCAUGUGGACAGAGAAUGGCUCUGGAGCUGUGGAGCCUGGUGCAGGAUCUGACUCAGAGACACUCCAUAAACCUUUCUCAAAGAAUAUAUGAAUGCGGCGUGAAAGUGAAGCUGCUGUUUCUGCAGCACAAGGCUGUGGUGAGGAGUCCAUGAAGAGGGGCCCACCAGGCCUCAGGGGCCACUCAUGCCAGGAAGGGGCAGUCAUCCUAGGAGGAGUGGUGCUAUCAGAAGCUACCUCAGGAGAAGAAGCUGAGGCAGGCUGUCCCUGGAGGGCAAGGUCCAAUGCCGGAGACACAAGGUUCAUCAGGGACUUUGCACUUGCCAGACAAGCACUGUGCCGCUAAGCUACAUCCUUGGCCCUUCAUCCAGAGUCAUCUGCUCUCUGCCAGGCACUGUCCUUGAUGCUGAAGACUCAAGGCCGCUUCACUACAGCCCAGUCCUAAGCAUCCGCCCAUCUCCCAGCAGCCCAGCCAGGUCUCCACUGUUGACCACGACAAGGUCAACAACAAGGUGUCCACCUAGCCUCAUGGGCGCAGGAGGCCUUGCUCUCCCCAAGCUCAAGGUGGCUGCAGUCAGUUCCCACCAGGUGACAGUGAUUGCCUUAGCAGCUGGUGGGCGCUCCCUGCCCCGGAGGCCGCCCACCUUGGGUGGGACACAAGGCAGCAGACAAUGGGAAGGAAUGAGAAUUCGUGAGGCCAGCAAGGGUGGCUG